rnacentral:rRNA from 1 species
UCUAUGCCCCUUAUGACCUGGGCUACACACGUGCUACAAUGGGCGGUACAAAGGGUCGCGAACCCGCGAGGGGGAGCCAAUCCCAAAAAGCCGCUCUCAGUUCGGAUUGCAGGCUGCAACUCGCCUGCAUGAAGCCGGAAUCGCUAGUAAUCGCGGAUCAGCAUGCCGCGGUGAAUACGUUCCCGGGCCUU